rnacentral:rRNA from 1 species
CCUGGCUCAUUAUGAACGCUAGCUACAGGCUUAACACAUGCAAGUCGAGGGGCAGCAUUUCAGUUUGCUUGCAAACUGGAGAUGGCGACCGGCGCACGGGUGAGUAACACGUAUCCAACCUGCCGAUAACUCGGGGAUAGCCUUUCGAAAGAAAGAUUAAUACCCGAUGGCAUAAUUAGACCGCAUGGUCUUAUUAUUAAAGAAUUUCGGUUAUCGAUGGGGAUGCGUUCCAUUAGGCAGUUGGUGAGGUAACGGCUCACCAAACCUUCGAUGGAUAGGGGUUCUGAGAGGAAGGUCCCCCACAUUGGAACUGAGACACGGUCCAAACUCCUACGGGAGGCAGCAGUGAGGAAUAUUGGUCAAUGGGCGCAGGCCUGAACCAGCCAAGUAGCGUGAAGGAUGACUGCCCUAUGGGUUGUAAACUUCUUUUAUAUGGGAAUAAAGUUUUCCACGUGUGGAAUUUUGUAUGUACCAUAUGAAUAAGGAUCGGCUAACUCCGUGCCAGCAGCCGCGGUAAUACGGAGGAUCCGAGCGUUAUCCGGAUUUAUUGGGUUUAAAGGGAGCGUAGGUGGACAGUUAAGUCAGUUGUGAAAGUUUGCGGCUCAACCGUAAAAUUGCAGUUGAUACUGGCUGUCUUGAGUACAGUAGAGGUGGGCGGAAUUCGUGGUGUAGCGGUGAAAUGCUUAGAUAUCACGAAGAACUCCGAUUGCGAAGGCAGCUCACUGGACUGCAACUGACACUGAUGCUCGAAAGUGUGGGUAUCAAACAGGAUUAGAUACCCUGGUAGUCCACACAGUAAACGAUGAAUACUCGCUGUUUGCGAUAUACAGUAAGCGGCCAAGCGAAAGCAUUAAGUAUUCCACCUGGGGAGUACGCCGGCAACGGUGAAACUCAAAGGAAUUGACGGGGGCCCGCACAAGCGGAGGAACAUGUGGUUUAAUUCGAUGAUACGCGAGGAACCUUACCCGGGCUUAAAUUGCAUUUGAAUAAUCUGGAAACAGGUUAGCCGCAAGGCAAAUGUGAAGGUGCUGCAUGGUUGUCGUCAGCUCGUGCCGUGAGGUGUCGGCUUAAGUGCCAUAACGAGCGCAACCCUUAUCUUUAGUUACUAACAGGUCAUGCUGAGGACUCUAGAGAGACUGCCGUCGUAAGAUGUGAGGAAGGUGGGGAUGACGUCAAAUCAGCACGGCCCUUACGUCCGGGGCUACACACGUGUUACAAUGGGGGGUACAGAAGGCAGCUACCUGGUGACAGGAUGCUAAUCCCAAAAGCCUCUCUCAGUUCGGAUCGAAGUCUGCAACCCGACUUCGUGAAGCUGGAUUCGCUAGUAAUCGCGCAUCAGCCAUGGCGCGGUGAAUACGUUCCCGGGCCUUGUACACACCG